rnacentral:rRNA from 1 species
GAUGAACGCUGGCGGCGUGCCUAAUACAUGCAAGUCGAACGAGGUGCUUUUGUAGCAAUACGAGAGUAUCCUAGUGGCGAACGGGUGAGUAACGCGUUGGUGACCUGCCCCAAAGUGUGGGAUAACAGUCCGAAAGGAUUGCUAAUACCGCAUGUGGUCCCCGGAUUUAGAAACCGGUGACUAAAGCAGUAAUGCGCUUUGGGAGGGACCUGCGUCCCAUCAGCUAGUUGGUGAGGUAACGGCCCACCAAGGCGACGACGGGUAGGGGACCUGAGAGGGUGGCCCCCCACAAUGGAACUGAAACGCGGUCCAUACACCUACGGGUGGCAGCAGUAGGGAAUAUUGCACAAUGGGCGAAAGCCUGAUGCAGCAACGCCGCGUGUGCGAAGAAGGCCUUCGGGUCGUAAAGCACUUUUCUGGGAGUUGAGAAAGGACAGUAUCCCAGGAAUAAGUCUCGGCUAACUACGUGCCAGCAGCCGCCGUAAGAC